AACACAGGGUCAAGUGACCCAAACCCAAAACUUCCUUGACCAACUCUAUGGAAGAUUAGGUUAACCCAAGCCCAUGUACAUCCAUGACUCGACCUAAUCUCACCUAUCCUGGGCCCAGACCUGGCCCAUAAAGAGUUGGUCCCUUGAGGCCCACAUAACCUAGACCUCAAGAACCCGAAAGGCCCACAGCCUUCCAACCUAGGACCCAACUAGCCCUAGAGCCUCCAUGAAGCCCUCAUGAAUGAUGGACCUUGGCCUUAGCCUUGAUCCCCUA
rnacentral:lncRNA from 1 species